rnacentral:rRNA from 1 species
AACGCACCUUGCGCUCCCUGGUAUUCCGGGGAGCAUGCCUGUUUGAGUGUCGUGAAAUCAUCAUGGUCAUGAUCUUUAAUUAAUCAUGGCUUGGUUUUGGAGGUUAUGUUGGCUUUUUAUUAAGUUGACUCCUCUUAAAUACAUUAGCUCAGUGUUUAAUGCUUAGAGCGGUUCACGGUGUGAUAAUUAUCUACGCCGUGGACUAUUUGCCGUUUUUAGCACUGCUUAUAAUCGUCUGUUCAUUCGGACAAUAUAUGACAAUUUGACCUCAAAUCAGGUAGGACUACCCGCUGAACUUAA